UCGUCGUCCGACGUUAUCUGUCAGAUCCCAUAUAAAAAUUUGACAGGCCGUCCCAUAAAAUCGCAUGCGAAAAAGCGUUGCCACCGCCCUAACCAAGGUUAUUAGACUCUAUACAGGUUAUGACAAAAGCCUGUUUUGGCCGAUUUCCAAUAAAAAAAUGAAUGAAAAAAUUUUGACAGACAAAUUGGAAUGGUUUGUUUACAAUUGGACUGGUUUGUUUACAAUUCGACUGAUUGCAACUGGAUUGCAAUCGUGCAAUAGUACGAUGUUUUAGGUUGAAUUGUUCAAUUAUUGUAAAUCUAAUUUUAAUUAUGUACUUUCUACUGGACUUGUGUAGAAAGUGGAGAAGGGAUUCCGCUAUGAAUAUUCGUGUGUUAUCGUAUUAAGACCCAACAUGUACGAGUUGAAAAAUCGUUACGUCGGAAAACGAUCUCAGGACAUUAACUUAAGUUUGCUGCAAAAUCAUGUGUGUAUAAGCAAUAAGGGAGAGCCGAUAAAGAAGCGGAUGAAGUAGCCAGAUAGUGAGCAUAUGCUGGACGGAAAAUGUAUGCAGCGGCUGGACAUAAAAAAAUCAUAUCGAACGACACGUUUCUAACCGUAGAUUAACAUCAAACCAGUCUCUAACAGCACGUGAAUUUCAUCACACGAGAUUCUUUCCGUCCAAGAACAGUCCUGUGAUCUAGUGAUGGGCGUUUCGGAGCGCACCAACGGCUCCGGACUAACGGGUCCGGAGCCAGCUACGCUCCGACGGCUCCGUAGCCGGCUCCGCUCCAAGGGCUCCGCAACCGGUUCCGGACUAACAGCUCUGCACUCACGGCUCCAUUCCAACAACUGCGGAGCCGGCUGCGAGUCCACUGUUCCAGAGCCGUCGACGAAUCAACGGCUCCGAACUAACGGUUCAAUAGAGACAGCAUUGCAUGCUAGCCUAAUCAAAAAACGAAUAUAUCUUCUCGUGGAAGCUAACACACGAUGUGAUUGCAGUAUUGACAUGUAUGACGUCAUAAUAUUUUUCAUGUUUGAUAGAGGCAGAUAAACCCUAUCCACAUUAUUUCACUUUUCAUACAAAUUAUAUGAUAAAGAGAAGGAGAAAGAGAUGAAUAUGAGGGUCACCGAGAAGAGCACUUGUGAAGGAAGAGUAGUGGCUGAGCCGGGGAGUAAAUGUUGAACGGUCCUGUUGUAACAAUUAUAAUUAGGAAAUAAACUAUAAGUAUAUUUGUGCUUA